GACGAACGCUGGCGGCGUGCCUAAUACAUGCAAGUAGAACGCUGAAGAGAGGAGCUUGCUCUUCUUGGAUGAGUUGCGAACGGGUGAGUAACGCGUAGGUAACCUGCCUUGUAGCGGGGGAUAACUAUUGGAAACGAUAGCUAAUACCGCAUAACAAUGGAUGACACAUGUCAUUUAUUUGAAAGGGGCAAUUGCUCCACUACAAGAUGGACCUGCGUUGUAUUAGCUAGUAGGUGAGGUAACGGCUCACCUAGGCGACGAUACAUAGCCGACCUGAGAGGGUGAUCGGCCACACUGGGACUGAGACACGGCCCAGACUCCUACAGGAGGCAGCAGUAGGGAAUCUUCGGCAAUGGGGGCAACCCUGACCGAGCAACGCCGCGUGAGUGAAGAAGGUUUUCGGAUCGUAAAGCUCUGUUGUAAGUCAAGAACGAGUGUGAGAGUGGAAAGUUCACACUGUGACGGUAGCUUACCAGAAAGGGACGGCUAACUACGUG
rnacentral:rRNA from 1 species